rnacentral:rRNA from 1 species
GAUGAACGCUGGCGGCGUGCUUAACACAUGCAAGUCGAACGAUGAAGCCCAGCUUGCUGGGUGGUCUAGUGGCGAACGGGUGAGUAACACGUGGGUAACCUGCCCUUUACUCUGGGAUAAGCCUGGGAAACUGGGUCUAAUACCGGAUAGGAGCGUCCUUUGCAUGCUGGUUGUUGGAGAGUUUUAUCUGUUUGGUAUGGACUCGCCGUAUAUCAGCUUGUUGGUGGGGAUGUGGUUCACCAGGGCGGCGGGGGGGAGCGGGUCUGAGGGGGUGACCGGCCACACUGAGACAGAGACAGGGCACAGACCCCUGCGGGGGGGAGCAGUGGGGAAUAGUGCACAAUGGGCGAACGUCUGAUGCAGCGACGGCGCGUGAGGGAUGAGGGCCUGCGGUUUGUAAACCUCUUGCAGUAGGGAAGAAGCGAAAGUGACGGUACCUGGAGAAGAAGCACCGGCUAACUACGUG